rnacentral:rRNA from 1 species
GACGAACGCUGACGGCGUGCUUAACACAUGCAAGUCGAAGGGAGUGGCGAACGGGUGAGUAACACGUGAGUAACCUGCCCUUUUCUUUGGGAUAAGCCUGGGAAAAUGGGUCUAAUACUGGAUGGAUUGUGCUGGGCUCGCGGCUUAUCGGGUUGUUGGUGGGGUGAUGGGUUACCAAGGCUUUGACGGGUAGCCGGCCUGAGAGGGUGGACGGUCACACUGGGCCUGAGAUGCGUCCCAGACGCCUACGGGGGGGAGCAGUGGGGGAUAUUGAACAAUGGGCGAAGGCCUGAUGCAGCGACGCCGCGUGGGGGAUGAAGGCUUUCGGGUUGUAAACCUCUUUCGCAAUCGAACGGGUAGGUGGAGAAGAAGCGCCGGCUAACUACGUGCCAGCAGCCGCGGUAAUUC